UUUACAGAUCUCAUUUUAACUCCGUAAUUUAUGAAAAGUUGGUAUUUUACUCCCUAAGAUAUCCAUCUUCCUCUUCAUAUAAAAUUAUUUUCCUGAACCAUCAGGUUGUGCACUGUUAGCCAGCCUGCGGCUUGUGUCCCUGACACGCCCCUGCAUGACCCAGGGAGUUCCUGUGCCCUGCGAUGUCCACAAAACGUCACUGCUCACGUGUCAUUACUGUACUUGGGAGAGGUCACAUUAGCCCCCGUUAAUAUGGAUUCUCUUAUCCGAUCUCCUUUCACCCAGCAAACAGCCCUGUGACUGAGACAGGGACAGAAGAUGAGGGAGUUGAUGAUGGGAAGGAAGAGGAAAACCACCCAGAGCCACCUGGCAGUGGGUGGGUCAGGUCAGCCUGUGCCACCGAGAUGUGGGUGGGAGUAGAGAAGAUGGAGACGGUGGACAAGGAGGAGGAAACCAGAGCGGGGACAAGAGGAGUCCUUUCCAGCGCUGGUCAAGGCAACGGGGUGAAGGUGGAUAUGACUGUGCACACGUCCCGGCUAUUUUGCUCGAAUCAUCAUGCACCGUGUAAAUUCAUGGAGGAAGGUAUACGCUGGCACAUGCAAGACUCCUCCCAAGGGGCGAGCACAGGAAGAUUCCAGGAGGGAAGCUGAGCCUCAGCAAGAUGCGAGAGAACCCAAACCACCCUGGAAGGAGCCUGGAGGUCUGUCAGCUCCCAGAGAGGGAGGAAAUAGUAAGCAAAUGGCAGCAGUUGCCUGGAGAAUUAGAAAAUGAAUAACAAUGCUUUCUGGUAAAUUAAGCGUAUUACAUUGUGCAGAGGAAAGUGAUGGGAAAGCCCUGUUAAAAAUUGAAUAAUAAUUUGCCCACAUCAUUUAUGUAAAAGGCAUAAUUUUCCUACUUCAGUGGACUUUAGUUUGAUUUGAAAUAUGAGCAGCUCCCGGACUGUUCACCAAAGCAUAAUUUGUGAGAUAAUUGGGAAGGGGAAGAGGCAUCGGGCUGCAAUCAGCACAAUCCUUCGUGAGCCACUUCACCUCCUUCCUCUCACCUGCGAAUUUCGGAAAAUAUUUGUUUAUACAUUCCUGAAGGUCUCUAAAUGAAAGUGCAAAGCAUUAAUCAUUGUCAUUGCUAUCACUAAACCAUGACCUCACGGUGUUUGAGAGGGGGAUUGCAAUGCUUCAUUCUAUUCAGUAUUUUUCUGCUCUGAUUCAAAUAAGUACUUGUUUUUGAAUAGUGGGGGGAAAUGGAAAUGUAGCAAAGCUAUACUUAAAACAGCAAGCCAAGAACAAAAGCAACAAGCAUGCAGCCAAAGGAGACCUUGGAAGAUACACAGAUAAAACAAAAAGCUGUGCUUGGCUGGGAUUUCUGUUUCAGAAUCAAAUGCAAAAUGGAGAACACUGUUCCAACUGUAAAGGUUUUGUAAUCUACAAGCCGUCUGAAACAAAAAGGCAUCAUCAUGUAAUCCACCUUGACAGUCAGAAGCCGCACUAUUGCUAGGAAUUACGAUAAUUGUUCUUGACUAAUGUAGAUUUUCAGGACCAGAGGGGUUGGAGGUGGGGUGGAAUUCAUACAUAGAUCCAAAACCCCUUGCUUCCAGAGGGCACACCCAUUUCAAUUGAUGUCCACUUCUCUUCCUGUCUUUUUCCCAUCCUCAUCACCCCUGCUCCCCAAUCCCAUUAGAUUCAUAAAAUUUGCACUUAGGCAUUCAUUCACUCUCUUUAUCCCCAUCUCUCCACAAAGAGUCAUUAUUUACUUAUUAAAUUCAGCUCUCAGAUUUCUACCUUUCAGGACAAACCUGUGGCUGAUUUCUGUCUGCUUAUCCCAAGCAGUCUUCCUUUGUUGCACUAAAUUCCUGUCUCCUCUAGAAGCUUGCUGGCCCCUGAAACUGAACUUUGAACCCCACAAAUCUCAGCACUUCUUAUCUCUGGGGUGCUCAUUCUGGCUGAGCAAAAGGGCCUUCCCCAACCCUAAUACUCCUCCCCACUCCCUCCAUCUCUCCCCUACCCCCUGCCACUGGUUUAAGAUUUAUUAGGCACUAGUUUUUGUACCUAUGCCUCCUGCCACUUGCUAUAAAUCGCCUUUAUGCAAAUAGAAAAGGCUACCCUGCCUCAAGACACUUUGCUGCCAUCUGCCAGAAAAUCGUUAUAACAAAUAUGCAAAAGGAUAAUGACUAGAAUGUGAAUGGUGCCCCCUAGAAUUGUGCAGUACACAACUGGCACAACUACAUGUGACAACCGUGUAGUCUGAAAGCACCUGAGCUAUCCUGGAACCCUGUGUAAAACUCACAGCCACAGUAAGUCAGUCUUGUUUUUUAUGACAGUUUGCAAUGUCAAAAUCUAAAUCUUUACCCGUGAUCAGAAAUUGCUGAGGAGCCGUUUCUGGAAGAGACAGCAGUUCCCAGGCAGCAGCACCUAUAAGAAGAAAGGGCUUUUCCAGCAUUCAGCCCGAGCUUUGACCUACCGUCUUGGCAGACACAGCCCAAACCACACUUGGUUGUUUUUCAGGAAGCAUCGAAGUUAGAAAGCUGGUAAAUCUGAAUGCUGGGGUGUGGAGGAGGUGGACUUGGCUUACGCGUGGGUCAACCAUUACCCCCCUCUCUGGCUGUGGUUGCUUCAUUUCUUGUUGAUUACCCCAUCUGUUCCCCUCCCUCCUUCCCAUUCAGCACAACCUGCAUGUUCUGUGAUCUCCCACUACAUAACAAACCACCCCAAAACUUAGCGGCAGAAACAGAAACAGUCAUUUAUUUUGCUGGUGAAUCUGCCAUUUGGGCAGGACUCAUCAGGGACAACUCCUCUCCAUUCCACAAGGCCUCAGCCAGGGCAGCUCAGGUGUGGCUGACGGACCCACUUUCACAGUGGCUCGUGCACGUGGCUGCUAAGUUGGUGGCGGUCGCCCAGGAGCCCAGCUGGGCGGUGGGUGAGGGCUUUGGAUGCCCUCCUCUCAGCCUCCCAGGUGGCCGCGUGCACUUGCUCCCACAGUGGGGCGCGUGUUGAACUACCCUGGCUGACUCAUCAUUAGACUGAGACAAGCUGUCCCCACCCAGCUCUGCCCUAAAUGCAAAUUUCUAAACAAAAUGAAUGAUUAUGGUUCUCAGCCACUAAGGCUUAGAAUAGUUAUUUCGCAACAGUCGAUCAGGAGAAUGUACCCACUGUGCUCGCUGUGGUGUGACUGCAUUCCCACAUCUUUCUAGGCUGCCUCCUGGAGCUAUAGAGUCAGGAAGUUAAGAACUACAUUUCCCAGGCUCUCCUACCACUAGGAUCAUGACUGUGAAUUAGGGUAUACCAAUUAGACAUAUUUGCACAAAGUGUAGAAGGCAGGCAGCAGUUUCCUGUGGCUUUUGGCUAUUUUCUGCUGGGAAGCGAGGUCAUGGAGCCACUGAUAUCCACUCUGCAGCUUCAUGGGUGUCGAGAGUCUGUUGGCAGUUGCUAGGCGCCUCUGCCUAGCAAACGAGCUGGUGGCGGCAGUUCGUGUGUUGCUAGCUUUCUGACCCCUUUCUGCCCUUGUUUUGCAGUGACUGUGUUCUUGAGAUUGCCAGUUCCAAUGGCAGCUUCCUGAGCCCAACCUUCCUGAUUGUGGCAGAGGGACACCUCCCUUGGCAGAUUGGUUUUGCCACAUUCCUCAAAGGCCCAGCCUAGAGCCAUCUCUUCCAGCCCUUCCAACAAAUUUGCAGUUCCCCAUAUUAAAUCCCUUUUUGCUUAAAAACCCUAGUGUAGUUUCUGUUUCCUACACUGAACCCUUCUGCUAAUAUCCAGGUAGUCCCCAAAACUCUGUCUCUUCUCAGACUUUCUUUUGUUCUUACUUGCUUGCUUCCUGUCCUUUAGUCAUUCCUUUAACAACUAUUUAUGGAGUAUCUACUAUGUGCUAGGCACUGUACUAGACCCUAGAGAAAAAUCUAUGAACUAAACAGACAUGGCAUCGCCUUCAUGGGAGGAGGCAGAACAAAGACCAGGAGUCAGCAAAACACAACGCUAGGGGCCAGUGGGCCACUGCUUGUUUUUGUCUAUAAAGUUUUCUUAGAACACAGCCUCACCCCUUCAUUUCUGUCUCUUCCAUGGCUGAUCUUGCCUGACAACGGCAAAGUUGAGUAGUUGUCAUAGAGACUGCAUGACCUACAAUGCUGAAAAUACUUACUGCCUGGCCUUUUUUCAGAAAAAGUUUGUCAGCUCCUGUAUUAGGCAAAUAAAACUCCAAGUCAUGCUCCUGUGGUCCCGACAUCCAAUCAAUUGCUCUGUCUGUCAACUCUGCAGACAGCCCUAGUCAAGCACCUUGCUCAGUGCCAAGAAUAUCACGAGGAUGCUCUCUGUUAAUUCUCACAGCAGCCUUUGGGACAUAUUAUUAUCUCUGUUUUACAGACAAGGAAACUGAGAUUUAUAAAGACGUGCACUUGGGUGGCGGGGCAGAUGGUGAUAUAUGGAAGAGGAACAGAAAAUGGCAGAAGGUGACGGGUUCAGUUCAGUUCGGAUCUGAGGCACAUGAGGUCCCUGCGGACGCCUACUUCAGGCUAUCCCAGCUGAUUUCCUGCCGGGUGUGGUGGAAAAGCAAGGAUUUCAAGUCUGAACAAAUUUUAGGUUAAAAUCACAAUUCUACCACUGUGUUUCCCCGAAAAUAAGACCUAUCCAUAAAAUAAGCCC